UGGGUGAUCUACUCUUUGGUGGGGAAUAACCCUGGGAAACCGGGGCUAAUACCGCAUAAGCCUCUAUUUUCAAAGUGGAGGGAAAGGUGCAAAUCGCCGAAGAAGGAGCCCGCGGCUGAUUAGCUAGUUGGUGGGGUAAAGGCUCACCAAGGCGAAGAUCGGUAGCCGGCCUGAGAGGGCACACGGCCACACUGGCACUGAAACACGGGCCAGACUCCUACGGGAGGCAG
rnacentral:rRNA from 1 species